AGAGUUUGAUCCUGGCUCAGAAUCAACGCUGGCGGCGUGCCUAACACAUGCAAGUCGCACGAGAAAGGGGCUUCGGCUCUGAGUAAAGUGGCGCACGGGUGAGUAACACGUGACUAACCUACCUUCGAAUGGGGAAUAACUGAGAGAAAUCUUAGCUAAUACCGCAUAAUACCUACGGGUCAAAGCAGCAAUGCGUUUGAAGAGGGGGUCGCGGUCGAUUAGUUAGUUGGCGGGGUAAUGGCCCACCAAGACGAUGAUCGAUAUCCGGCCUGAGAGGGCGCACGGACACACUGGAACUGAAACACGGUCCAGACUCCUACGGGAGGCAGCAGUGGGGAAUUUUGCGCAAUGGGGGAAACCCUGACGCAGCAACGCCGCGUGGAGGAUGAAGUAUCUUGGUACGUAAACUCCUUUCGAUGGGGAAGAUUAUGACGGUACCCAU
rnacentral:rRNA from 1 species